ensembl:lncRNA
AUAGUUAGUAUUAUUUUUUUUCUGUCAUUGCUUUAAUGUCUUAACUUAGAUUUCAUAUUUAUUGGCCCUCUUUUCUAAGGAGUGUAUGUUCUUCUGUUUGUAAUGUAGGUUGGAUUUUACAUAGUUAUUUUUGAACAAGAAAAUGCAAUUGCUGUGGCGCCUGCAUUAUGGGUAGAGGAGGUGAAUGGGGUAAGGGUACAUGCACGUGCAGACAUACACACACACACACAUACAUAAUUAAUACCGGAAAUAAAUAAGAUGUGAUUAACUUUUCCCUGAAAUGUUUUAGGUUCUGAUUUGCUACUGGCCCCGUAGAAACGCUGCUGCCAUGGCAAAGGCCUCCCAAAGGCCAGAUAAGGAGCUCUGGAAGCGGCACAAAAUAAGAAUACUCUCCGAGACUGGUGAGAAAACUGAAUAAAUAUAUAGUCAUAUGGAGGUACACUCCCUUUUAAAAUAGUAAAAUGAUUACAAAAACUAAAAAGACAACUCAAAUUUACUCUGUCCUUAGACAACUAUAAGACAGCCAGAGAGCGAGCCAAAAAAGCUGUAGAAAGUUCAAACGUGGACACAGAAGAAGAGGUGCUAAAAGAGCGGAAAAAAAAGGUACCAUCAAAAUACUGGACAGAGAGUGAAGGUAAACACACGCGAUUGCUUUUUGUCAUGCAUUACUCCGCUGUUUAUGUAUAAAAAUCAUGCCAUAUGCCAUGCAGAGAAAACUACUGUAUAAAACUAAACUAUAUAUAAACUGUUUCAUCCUGAAUUAAUAGGAGAAUGUGAGAUUCCUACCAAAAAAAGGAGAAAAAUGUCCACAUCCUCUCAAAAGCCAUCAAGCCUCCCAAAGCCUCCAAGUUAUUUCCAGCAUCUCAUCGAGCAAUCUGAGCAGCGGAUGCUCCUCGCAAUAGAGAGAAUGUCGACAGAUAUUUCAAAUUCUAUUGAGCGUCUGGUCCAGACUAUUCAACAGAAUCAUCCUGGUCCGGCAACCAUCACAACACCACCACAGGAGACCAUUGAGAGGCCCUGCAAAACAGUGCAGGAGCUGCAAGCUUUCAUAUUAAAACUUGAGGGCCCAGAAGGGAAAAAAAAGGAUGGUAUGUUGAUAUAG